rnacentral:rRNA from 1 species
CAAUAGCGUAUAUUUAAGUUGUUGCAGUUAAAAAGCUCGUAGUCGGAUUUUGGCUGAGAACGAUCGGUCCGCCGUUAGGUGUGCACUGAUUGGUCUCAGCUUCCUGGUGAGGAGGUGUGCUUCACGGCCACUUAGUCACCGUGGUUACUUUGAAAAAAUUAGAGUGUUCAAAGCGGGCUUACGCUUGAAUAUAUUAGCAUGGAAUAACACCAUAGGACUCCUGUCCUAUUUCGUUGGUCACGGGACGGGAGUAAUGAUUAAGAGGAACAGUUGGGGGCAUUCGUAUUUCAUUGUCAGAGGUUAAAUUCUUGGAUUUAUGAAAGACGAACUUCUGCGAAAGCAUUUGCCAAGGAUGUUUUCAUUGA